UGUGUGUGUGUCAGUGUGUGUAUCUGAGUGUGUGUUUGCACAAAACCGUUGCUGUUGCUGCUAAAAAGGACGUUCCUUAAAAAAUUCUGCCCUAUGUAUUUUGGUGACACCACGAUCCCCCCAGCUUUGCCCCCUUUGGAGAUCAGAGAGCUGAAGAUGAGAGACUGCAUCUUGUAAAUAAUAGAGAGAUUCACUGCGGUGUUUAUGCUGGGCCAGAGUGCAAAAAUUUAAUUUACUAGUCUGACAAGCAAACCGUGGGAGCUGAGAAUGACUUAUGUGCUGUGAGGAACUGAUCUUUCUAAUAACGAUGCUUCGGGAGAGAGGGAAUGUGAGAGGGUAAGAGAGAUUGAUGUAGAGAGAGAGAGGGGACUCUCAAGGUAGGGAACGAAAAGAGAGAACAGGGGAUAUUCUUUAUAGCUUGUCAGUCACAGACAGAUGGGGCGUG